GACGAACGCUGGCGGCGUGCUUAACACAUGCAAGUCGAACGGAAAGGCCCUGCGUUUGUGGGGUGCUCGAGUGGCGAACGGGUGAGUAACACGUGAGUAACCUGCCCUUGACUUUGGGAUAACUUCAGGAAACUGGGGCUAAUACCGGAUAGGAGCUCCUGCUGCAUGGUGGGGGUUGGAAAGUUUCGGCGGUUGGGGAUGGACUCGCGGCUUAUCAGCUUGUUGGUGGGGUAGUGGCUUACCAAGGCUUUGACGGGUAGCCGGCCUGAGAGGGUGACCGGCCACAGUGGGACUGAGAUACGGCCCAGACUCCUACGGGAGGCAGCAGUGGGGAAUAUUGCACAAUGGGCGGAAGCCGGAUGCAGCAACGCCGCGUGCGGGAUGACGGCCUUCGGGUUGUAAACCGCUUUCGCCUGUGACGAAGCGUGAGUGACGGUAAUGGGUAAAGAAGCACCGGCUAACUACGUG
rnacentral:rRNA from 1 species